GAAGCUCAUAGAAGUCAACAGCAAGACUUAGCUCAAAAGUCAACUCAAACAUUUCCAAAAAUCACCAAAUAAAUCAUGAUCAAUCACAACCCACAGCAUGGUAAGCAUGUCAAAUUUCAUCUCAUUUGGACAAGUGGAAGGCAGUCAAUGAAAAUCAGAAAGUCAAAGCAAUUUUGAACAUGCUCAAGGAAGUCAACCAAACAUGCAUCAACUUAGAAAAAUCAUAAAUCAG
rnacentral:lncRNA from 1 species